CUCUGCCUCCCAGGUUCAAGUGAUUCUCCUGCCUCAGCCUCCCAAGUAGCUGGGACUACAGGCAUGCACUACCAUUCCCAGCUAAUUUUUGUAUUUUUAGUAGAGAUGGGGUUUCACCAAGCUGGCCAGGCUGUUCUCAAACUCCUGACCUCAUGAUCCUCCCACCUUGGCCUCCCAAAGCACUGGGAUUACAGGUAUAAGCCACCAAUCCUGGCCGAGUCCCUGAUUUUAAUUCUUCUGGAUAUAUACCUAGGAGUGGAAUUGCUGGGUCAUAUGGUAGUGCUAUACUUAACUUCUGGAGGAACUGCCACACCCUUUUGUACAGUGGCUGCCUCAGUUUACAUUCCUACCACCAAUGCAUGUGGGUUCUGUUUUUUGUUUUUUUGAGACCGAGUCUCGCUCUGUCACCCAGGUUGGAGUGCAGUGGUGUGACUGUGGCUCACUGCAACUGCCACUUCCUAGGUUCAAGCAAUUCUCCCACCUUAGCCUCCUGUGUAGCUGGGAUUACAGAGAUCGGAUUUGCCAGAACUACACCUUCCAUGCACAUCAUAGGAAGAUGGCGCCUUAUCUUGUUUGGAGCCUUACCCAGAUUUGCCACCAUUUUGAAAAACUACAUACUUCAUGGCAAAUCUUCUCAUGGGACUUGAGAGGUGUACACUUCUCGUUGUUUUAUUGCGUCUGCUAGCAUGGCAUUGUCAACAGAAGUAUUUACAAUUUGAAAUAAUGAGCUGGAAGCGGUGGCUCACACCUGUAGUCCCAGCACUUUGGGAGGCCGAGACAGGCAUAUCACGAAGUCAGGAGAUCAAGACCAUUCUGGCCAACAUGGUGAAACCUUAUCUCUACUAAAAAUACAAAAAUUAGCCAAGCAUGGCGGUUCAUGCCUGUAGUCCCAGCUACUCGGGAGGCUGAGGCAGGAGAAUCACUUGAACCUGGGAGGUGGAGGUUGCAGUGAGCCGAAAUCACAGCACUGCACUCCAGCCUGGCGACAGAGACUCCAUCUUAAAAAAUCACUUUAAAUUACUUUUGUUAUGCAUUAAUUAUUAUUAUUUUUUGAGACAACGUCUUGCUCUGUCACCCAGGCUGGAGUGCAGUGGUGCGAUCUCAGCUCACUGCAGCCUCUGCUGCCUCAGGCUCCUGAGUAGCUGGGAUUACAGGCACCCACCACGGCCCCCCUUCCAUGCCCCGGGACCUUGUAGGACACUUCUAGAUCUGGCCACAAGGUGGAGCAUGGCGGCUGCAGCACUGUGCUGGGGGCCCGGCUGCUGAGGAGCAUGGACCUGCACCCAGUGACGUGUCUGUGCAUCUAGAGACCCAGAGGGCUGUGGUUGACUUGCAGUGCUGACCCCAGCCCCACACUGGGAUUGCCUGGGUCUCUCAGGUAUCACUGAGAAGCUGGAUAAAGAGAGCUGGGACUGCCACCUCAGCCCACUAAAGUCUCACUGUUUUACAGGUGAGGAGACUGAGGCCCAGAGAAGGAAGUCACAUGCUGAGGUCAUCGACUAAUCAGUGGCUGAGCUGGGCUUGAAUCCAGAUUUUUUGUGCUGUGGGCCCUCUGCUUUUCCUGUGGAGAGGGGCUUCUCCCACCUGGGGAGGGGGCCCCUGUUGUAUAGGAGAGGCAGGGGAUUAAAGAUGGCCUGAGCGAGGUUAGGGUCCCAGAAACCAAGGGGCAACCCCUGUCCUGGAGGGAAUAGGCCUUGAGGGCGGGGAUGGGGCAGAGGCAGUGGAUGAGGGGGUCUGCCCAGGGCUUCUUCAGUUCCCUCCUGGGGUCCCUGGGGACCCAGGGCUGCAGCACAUGCCCUGGGCUAGGGGAUGGGCCAGGACCCUCGUGAUGCCCACUGCUCCCUCUCCUGCACUGUGGAGACCUUGUCCAUCCCGGAUCUCCUCAAUGGCUCCUGCUGUCUUUCUAGGUUGUGCUCUCCCAUGUCAGGGACAUGUCCCAGAGCCCAGGACCUGGGUGGGCUGUUUCCACAGUGACUGAAUAGGGACAAACAGACAUGCGUUGGCAGGGGCUGUUGGCUCAUCUCAGGAAAGUCCCUUCUGCAAGAGGGUUCUCCCCCAACCAGAGCUGAAGGCAGUAGAAGAAAGGGAUGUUAUUU
rnacentral:lncRNA from 1 species